UUGAUUGUACGUACGCAUUGCAAAAUCACCGGCUGGCCGACUGAACUCGAAACAAAAAGACGCAAUUUAAUAAGUUUUCAAAAUCAAGUGAAACGUCUUUGACCGUCGUCAUCUCCCAAGAUUUUGUCACUCUCCAACCAUGCUGCAGAAUUACAGUAGAUAGCAAAAACUAGUUCAGAAACCUCUCUCAUGCCCCUUCCUUCGCAUCAUCGUAAACCCCAUUAAACUCAGGCAAAAUGCAAAAUUGUAGGAGAAGUCUAUCGUAUUGCAGUCAAGAUUUCAACAUAGAGGGCGACAUUUCCUUGCUUUCUGCACAGGUCAACAAAUUCUUCCAGAUUUGAGUCUUAAUGGAGUCAAAUUGGAAAGUUUUUGCUUUGU